AUCCAGAUCGUAUUUUUCUUUCUUCGAAGAGUUUUUUACUUAAUUCGGAUAGUUCUUCCUCCCUCCGGUCUAAGAGGUUUUGGGCAUUUAUUAAUUCAUUUUUUAGCGAAGAGUAUUUUAACUCCAAAGCCUGUUUUUCGUUGCUCAUUAAUUCAAAACUAGCAGAUAGCUUUUGUCCAGCCACUAUGGCUUCUUCUCGUUCUUCUUCGCUAACAUCUAAUUCGUCUUUUACGUCGGUAAGCUGCCGCUGAAGUACUGAAAUUUUAUCGUUCAGAAUUUCCAUUAAAUUUGUAUUAUCAAGGUCUUUCGCAUUUCCAGAUAAAUAUUUCUUAAUGGAUUCUCUUUCUUUUUCGAGCAUUGCAACUGUCUCUCGUAAUGAACUAAUGACCAAGUUCUUCUUUUCCAAAUUUGAAGUCAACUCUUUCUCUCGAUCUUGUAAUUUAUUAAUGGAUUCAUGAAACCGCCGCAAAUCGUUGUCUUUAUACUGAAAAGCAUUCAUCACUUCAUUAUAAGUUUCUUCUUUAUCCUUAAGCUUAUUUCUAUAUUCAUCAAUAGUACCGUUUAAUUCAGAAACGUUGACUUCGUAUGACUUGAUACGUUGUUCUAACUCAUUUAUUAAACGGUCUUUCUCUUUGGUAAUAGAGUCAAUCUUCAAAGUUAAGCCUUCAUUUUCCUCCCUAAGAUCGUGUAUCUCGUUUAAGUCAUUAGAAUUCUUCAUUCUAAGGGUUUCCAGUUCUUUAGUGACUUCUUGCAAUCGGAUAUUCGUUUCUGCAAGUGCUUUAUCUGAAUUUUUAGAGGCAAGAAGACGUAAAUGAUUCUUCUCUUCAUCUAUUUCACGAUUUUGCGUACGUAAAGACUCAAUUUGGUUACCCAACGAGGAGGUCAUCAACCGUAAACUGUUAUUGUCAUCUUCCAAAGUUUGGAGUUUGGAUUCUAGCACGUCUCGUUCUUCUUCCAAGCUUCUAAAUUGAAGCAUAAUAUCUUCAAAGUUUUUACCUUCUUCGUUCAUUCGACUAAUUUGAUCAUGUAAAAAUUCGAUUUCUUCGUUCGCUUUGUGUAAUUGUUCUUGAAGGGUAUGUACUUGCAUGGAAUCUGUCAAACCAAUUGAGGCCUCGGAUUCAUGCAUUAUCUGAUUUUCUUUCUCUUUUUCGAGAUCGGCAGUAAGCACUUGUAUUCUAUCCGCAAAUUCAUCACAUUUGGCUUGCAAAAUCGCAUAGUCUUCUUGAAGAUGUACGUAGCUUGAAUUCUCCUCAUUUUCAAAAGCUGAAGAGCUAUUCUCCUUUUCCUCAAUCUGUCUUUUCAGGGUGGCAAUUUCGUCUUCUUUCUCAGUAAGCAAAUCUUGAGCAACAUCUAGCUCUUCCGAUAAUUCAUCAAGCCGAUUUUGUAACUGUCGUAUUUCAUAUUCAUAAUCAACUUCCUUGUUACUUUUAUCCUCUUCCAUCUCUGUAGAUAAACUGUCUUUUUCCCUUUGAACUUUUUCCAAGGCAUUCUCCAAAAAACGAAUGCGCUCCGUAAAAACUUUUACAUUCUGGGAUUGCUCGACAUCAUUAACCUUAGAUAAAUAAUCGACCUUCUCUUCUAAUUUGAAAUUCUUGUCUUCAGACUUUUGAAGUAAAGAUUCAGUUCUCUUAAGCUGAAGCUGUAAGUUUGCUCGUUCGGCAUGCAACUCAACAUUGUCUUUGACAGCUUCUUUUAUCUGUUCGGGAGCCAUAGACUCAAGUCGCUUUUCCAAACAUACAAUUUUGAUUCGAAGUCCAAAGUUUUCUCUGCUAACUUUCUCAAGGACCUUUUCUUGCUCACGAAGAGUAAGGGCGGCAUUUGCAGGCAAUUCUCCAUCUGUGUGAUCUAUUUCGGAAUUUUUCGAGAGAUCGGUAAGCUUGGAAACGUCGUAAGAGUCAUUUCCCUGACUGAUGCUCAAAGCUUCUUGAGUAGCUUGUUUAGAUAUAGCAGAUAACCCGUAGGAAUUAGGGUCAAAAGAGCCUUUAUCGCCCAAACUCCCGUUGUAUUUAUCUGAGUUUUUAUUUGAAGACUGUAAUAAUGGAGUAAAUUCCAAACUACCUUUUGGUUGAUAAGAGCCGUUGCGCAAAGGCGUCUGGAAAGAUGAUUUAUCAUUAAGGUACGAACCACGGAAAUCAGAAUAAUCAUCGUUAUUAUUUUUGAGUGAUUUCCCCAAAAAAUCAGAUUGGCUGAUCACAGAAUUCGCGUUUUCAUCUUUAAAUUUGGGAGAUUGCGUAUUAAAAUCUCGUUCAGACAUAACGUAACUGCGGAUGCAUGUAUUUAUUAAAAUUAUCCACCAACUAGCGCAAGUGCAUAAAAUUAUAUAGAAACUACUUAUUCUGGCAGAAUCAUUAAAAAGCAAAAAUGUU
rnacentral:lncRNA from 1 species